UAUGGCCAGAUCAUGUUGAAACACCAAUUCUCAUACGAUCACCAAAGUUAAGGAACAUUGGCCCUGGUCAGUACCUAGAUGGGUGACUGCUUGGGAAUAUCCAGUGCUGUAAG